UGGGGAAUAUUGGACAAUGGGCGCAAGCCUGAUCCAGCCAUGCCGCGUGAGUGAAGAAGGCCUUAGGGUUGUAAAGCUCUUUCAGUCGUGACGAUGAUGACGGUAGCGACAGAAGAAGCCCCGGCUAACUCCGUGCCAGCAGCCGCGGUAAUACGGAGGGUGCGAGCGUUAAUCGGAAUUACUGGGCGUAAAGCGCGCGUAGGCGGUUAUCUAAGCUAGAUGUGAAAGCCCUGGGCUCAACCUGGGAAUGGCAUUUAGAACUGGAUGACUGGAGUACAGCAGAGGGGUGUGGAAUUUCCGGUGUAGCGGUGAAAUGCGUAGAGAUCGGAAGGAACAUCAGUGGCGAAGGCGACACCCUGGGUUGAUACUGACGCUGAGGUGCGAAAGCGUGGGGAGCAAACAGGAUUAGAUACCCGCGUAGUCC
rnacentral:rRNA from 1 species